CCACCGUUGCCCCCAGGGUGGCUCCGGUUCUUCUUGAAAUAGGUCUUCGUCGCCGCUGUCGUUGCCCUUACCGUCCCCGAGAAUCUAUCCCAUCCUUUUUCCCCUGAGGUUGGGACUUCGGAGGUGGAAUGAAACAAGGUGGGGCGAAAGCCGAUGAGCCCAUCACACGUACUGGACGACGCGGCUGGGAAGAAAAGUUUGCAGCUUGAAGUGGCCUCCGGUGCAUCCUUUCCAAAC
rnacentral:lncRNA from 1 species